rnacentral:rRNA from 1 species
AGAGUUUGAUCCUGGCUCAGGAUGAACGCUAGCGACAGGCUUAACACAUGCAAGCCGAGGGGCAGCACGGGAGUAGCAAUACAACUGGUGGCGACCGGCGCACGGGUGAGUAACGCGUAUGCAACCUACCUAUCAGAGGGGAAUAACCCGGCGAAAGUCGGACUAAUACCGCAUAAAACAGGGGCACCGCAUGGUGAUAUUUGUUAAAGAAAUUCGCUGAUAGAUGGGCAUGCGUUCCAUUAGGUAGUUGGUGAGGUAACGGCUCACCAAGCCGACGAUGGAUAGGGGAACUGAGAGGUUGGUCCCCCACACUGGUACUGAGACACGGACCAGACUCCUACGGGAGGCAGCAGUGAGGAAUAUUGGUCAAUGGGCGGGAGCCUGAACCAGCCAAGUCGCGUGAAGGAAGAAGGAUCUAUGGUUCGUAAACUUCUUUUGCAGGGGAAUAAAGUGCAGGACGUGUCCUGUUUUGUAUGUACCCUGAGAAUAAGGAUCGGCUAACUCCGUGCCAGCAGCCGCGGUAAUACGGAGGAUCCGAGCGUUAUCCGGAUUUAUUGGGUUUAAAGGGUGCGUAGGUGGUUUGAUAAGUCAGCGGUGAAAGUUUGCAGCUUAACUGUAAAAAUGCCGUUGAAACUGUCGGACUUGAGUGUAAAUGAGGUAGGCGGAAUGCGUGGUGUAGCGGUGAAAUGCAUAGAUAUCACGCAGAACUCCGAUUGCGAAGGCAGCUUACUAAGCUACAACUGACACUGAAGCACGAAAGCGUGGGGAUCAAACAGGAUUAGAUACCCUGGUAGUCCACGCAGUAAACGAUGAUUACUAGCUGUUUGCGAUACACAGUAAGCGGCACAGCGAAAGCGUUAAGUAAUCCACCUGGGGGAGUACGCCGGCAACGGUGAAACUUAAAUGAAUUGACGG